rnacentral:rRNA from 1 species
UACGUAGGGUGCGAGCGUUAAUCGGAAUUACUGGGCGUAAAGCGUGCGCAGGCGGCUUUUUAAGCCAGACGUGAAAUCCCCGGGCUUAACCUGGGAAUGGCGUUUGGAACUGGAAGGCUAGAGUGUGUCAGAGGGGGGUAGAAUUCCACGUGUAGCAGUGAAAUGCGUAGAUAUGUGGAGGAACAUCAGUGGCGAAGGCGGCUUCCUGGCUUAAAACUGACACUGUGGCGCGAAAGCGUGGGUAGCAAACAGG